UUGUGUGAAGUGGACUGGAAUACACUUAUAUUAACAACUAAUUUUCCAAAGUUUGUUACGAUCACGCUACUUAAUAGGUCCCGUUCUUUUACAUUUCCACCCGUUUCGCUCAUUCUAAAUGGGUAUUACUUAGAGUUCUAAACUUCAGAAUACGGAAGAUAGCCAAAUUAGAUUGCUUUCUGUGCAAUCUAAAGGCUAUGUUUGUCUCUCCUGACCUCAAUAUCUCCGGACACUGUGAGUGUGGUUCAGACAGAAAAGAUGGAGCGGCAAUCGUAGUGUAAAACCAUACUCUUUGACUGUGAAGACAUACUCUCGGCUGGGAAUCUUAGUAAAGUCAUACAUUGAAAAUUGUGCCAUGUUACCAGGACAACUCUGCGUAAAAUGUGUAGAAGAUUGGAUACCAGCAAAAAAGCAGAAAUUAGAUAUCGUGAUUGCGGUCACGGACAGUUCUGUUUUGAGUGUGUGGAAUCCCUUCAUCGAACGAGGAAUGUUUUCCAUUUGGUUGAAGUAUGGAAGACUGAUUGUGAAAUGUUUGUUCUGUUAUUUUUUGGUGGUAUAUUACGUGACAGUCAGCAUGGUAACUGCUCUUCAACAGAAUCACAUACUAUAAUAUGUGUGGAUGGAAAAGGUUGGCAGCAUUUAAAAAUUGUUGAAUUCUGUCAGUGUAUUAAGGAUGCUGAAAAACUAAUUAAACUCCAGCUGUGACCAGGCUCAUCUUCUAAACCCCAAAUUGCAUUUCACUUUGACUUCAUGGAUUUUGCUGAAAAAUACUUGCUUUAGAGCCAUGUAUCCUUGCACAAAUUUUGCAGCACUGUUGAAGUUGAAUAUCCUGAAAUGCUACCUAGACUGGU